rnacentral:rRNA from 1 species
UACGGGGGGGGCAAGCGUUGUUCGGAAUUACUGGGCGUAAAGGGCGCGUAGGUGGCCCGUCAAGCGCGCGGUGAAAGCCCGGGGCUCAACCCCGGGUCGGCCGUGCGGACUGGCGGGCUCGAGCACUGUAGGGGCGGGUGGAAUUCCGGGUGUAGCGGUGGAAUGCGUAGAGAUCCGGAAGAACACCGGUGGCGAAGGCGCUCUGCUAGGCCGUAACUGACACUGAGGGACGAAAGCUAGGGGAGCGAAUGGG